GAUGCUUUACAUGAGAAGAGCACAUUACUACUGCUAUAGUCGAAACCGAUCCGUACAUCACAGUGACAUUACAAGAAAUUAAACACACAUAACACAUCUCUUAUUCUACGUAAUGACAUGAACUUAGCAAGCUAGUCAUUCAUGCAUGCAUGAUCAGAGCUAGUCAUUCAUGCAUGCAUGAUCAGUUUCAGUUGGGAAAUGGAAGUUUGUGAGGUGGCUUGACAGGGCCAGUUGGGGGCUUUAGUUUCCUCGGUGGCUUUGAUGGGUCUCUUCCACCCUCCACCACAUUCUGUUCAAGAUGGCGAUCGUGAUGAGGUGGCUUGUCUCCCUUGCCCUUAGGAGGCUGAUCAACUGGCUUGGGCUCUGGCUUGGGCUCUGGGAAUGGCUUGUGCUCAUCAAGUGGGGUUGGUGGCUUGGGUUUUGUGGGUGGCUUCGGCUUCUUUCCCUGAGGAGGCAAUUUCCCAUCCAAUGGCUCCUCUAGCAAACGAGUUCUGGUUUCUUGUUUGUGAUGAGGCGGUUUCUCACCCUUUGGAGGCUGAUCAACUGGCUUUGGUUCUGGCUUGGGCUCUGGCUUGGGCUCUGGGAAUGGCUUGUGCUCAUCAAGUGGGGUUGGUGGCUUGGGUUUUGUGGGUGGCUCCGGCUUCUUUCCCUGAGGAGGCAAUUUCCCAUCCAAUGGCUCCUCUAGCAAACGAGUUCUGGUUUCUUGUAUGUGAUGAGGCGGCUUCUCACCCUUUGGAGGCUGAUCAACUGGCUUUGGUUCUGGCUUGGGCUCGGGCUUGGGCUCUGGCUUGGGCUCUGGGAAUGGCUUGUGCUCAUCAAGUGGGGUUGGUGGCUUGGGUUUUGUGGGUGGCUUCGGCUUCUUUCCCUGAGGAGGCAAUUUCCCAUCCAAUGGCUCCUCUAGCAAACGAGUUCUGGUUUCUUGUUUGUGAUGAGGCGGCUUCUCACCCUUUGGAGGCUCGUCGUUGCCCGGGUUUCCUUUGUGCUCUGGUGGUGGCUUCUCUCCUUUUCUUGGUGGCUCAUCUCUUGGGUGUCCUGGUUCAUGCUCAGGUGGUGGUUUCUCUCCUUUUCUCGGUGGCUCAUCUCCCGGGUGCUCAGGUGGUGGCUUCUCAUCCUUGUGAGGCUCAUCACCUGGUUUCUCCUUUGGUGGUGGCUUUUGUCCCUUAGGAGGCUCAUUGUUCUCUGGUGGAGGCUUUUUUCCCUUUGGAGGCUCAUUGUUCUCUGGUGGAGGCUUCUUUCCCUUUGGAGGCUGGUCAUUGCGCUCUGGUGGUGGCUUUUGUACCUGGGGAGGCUGGUCAUUGCGCUCUGGAGGUGGCUUUUCUCCCUUGGGAAAUUGGCCCUCCACCUCUAACAAAUGGUGUUCGUUGUGGGGUGGCUUGUCAACUGGUGGAGGCUUGUAAAUUGGGGGUACGGAAAUUGGAGGCUUGUAGAUUUGUGGCUUUGGGUCAUGGUUAUCAGCAAGAGAAGGAGUUGUGGUGGUGAAAGCCACCACUCCAAGAAGAAACACUAGCAAGUAUUUGGAAGACAUCUUUGGGCUCUUAGAAGCUUUGGGAUGAUUUGAAACUAGUAGAAGCCAGUGGCUUUUUAUAGUAAUAUGGGAACACUGUCGUCCUGACACGUGUCGUUUUGCAUCUGGAAUUUUUAAUGAAGUUAGUGGACUCAAUGGUGUUUUGUAUUGUUGGUACAAUUUAUAAAUGAAUUGGGGUCCAUUUGGGUCCUCAGGAGUUGAAAAGUUUGACAAUUUGCUAUGUUCAUACCUGGUGGGGACCUGAAUGAAAGCUUUGCACGACCGAGUGUUCACAACUCACAUGCACAAAUAUCAGUGACCUGGAGUACCUGGUGCACCUACUUCAAGCUCACUGGUUAUAGAUAGUGUUUUAACUUUUAAAAAGACUACGAAAAAUAGAAAAUCAUUUAUAAUAACUUAUUUUUGCAUGUGUGAGCAUAGCCAAUUUCUUUUUUUUCUUUUUUUGAAACAGAUGAUAAUAGGCACUAUACUAUAAGAAUGUAUAAAAAAUAACACUAAAAUAAUCAAUACUAUCUAAAACUUAAGUAUGAAAGAUAAGAAUAAAUACGUGAUUUUAAAAGAGACUCGCGCUUGAACAACUCAAAGAAAAACAACAACAACAAAAAAAGGAAAAAAAGAAGCAGAAGCAUGUUCAUACCAUGUUUACUGCAUAUAUAUAUAUAUAUAUAUCUAUCAAAAUGUUUACGUACUAUAUUGUAGACCGCUUUUGUAAUAUUACGAGAUGCUAUCAAAAGUAAGCAUGCAUGUAUAUAUCCUUAGUAUUUUAUGUUAUCCAACAUGUAGCACCGGAUGAAGGCAAGAAAACAUUAAAAGUCCGUUUGAUAAUUAUUUUAAUUUUAAUUUUAAUUUUUUAUUUUUUGUACUGGUAUAGAGAAAAAAAAGGGAGAAUAGAAGUGAGAUUGAGAUGGAAUAUGAGAACAGAGAAUGAGAGAGAGGAAUAACAAAAAUGAAAACAAAAACUAAAAACUGAAAUCUAUUUGAAAUUAUUUUCACUUUUGUUACUCGUCUCUCCCAUCUUCUCUCUCAAUCUCAUCCUAACUCUCAUUCUCACUUUCUCACUCUCAUUUUCCUCUAUACUCUAGCAAAAUUAACUAACUUUCGGCAAAAGCUAUUAUAUUGUUUUCAGCGUACACAACACAGAUUUUGUGUUCGUCAGUCCACAGCUUUUGCUUGAUUCUAGUGUCUACUGUGCUGAGUGGAAAGAUGAACGGCUAAUUUAGCUCAUUUCUUUUUGUUUUUUGUUUUAAUUAUAUAUCAAUACUACUAGCUAGCUAGCCCACAAUGGGAUUUCUCCUUUUCCCACUUGGGAUUUGUAUUUAAUUGCAACUUGUUAACACGAUCGAUCAUGUGAAUUGCUUUCAAUUAUAAUAAAAACUAAAGUGCCCUUCAAGUUUGGCCAAGAAAUACUUGUGCGUGCACGUGCAUAUGGUUGGCAUGGUGUGUUCACAACUCACAUGCACAAAUAUCAGUGACCUGGAGUACCUGGUGCAGCUACUUCAAGCUCACUGGUUAUAGAUAGUGUUUUAACUUUUAAAAAGCCUACGAAAAAUAUAAAAUCAUUUAUAAUAACUUAUUUUUGCAUGUGUGAGCAUAGCCAAUUUCUUUUUUUUUUUCUUUUUUUUUGAAACAGAUGAUAAUAGGCACUAUACUAUAAGAAGGUAUAAAAAAUAGCACUGGAAUAAUUAAUACUAUCUAAAAUUUAAGUCUGAGAGAUAAGAAUAAAUACGUUAUCUUAAAAAAGACUCGUGUUUGAACAACUCAAAGAAAAACAACAAAAAAGAAAAAGAAAAAAAAGAAGCGGAAGCAUGUUCAUACCAUGUUUACUAUAUAAAUAUAUAUAUAUAUAUAUAUAUAUAUUUAUCAAAAUGUUUACGUACUAUAUUGUAGACCGCUUUUGUAAUAUUACGACCACUGACGGACCCAGAAAUUUUUUAGCAGAGGUGCAAUAUUGACUAAGUAUGAAAAAUAAUUUUGGCGGCUUUUAUUCCUUACACAUCAAAUAAGAAAACUUGAUUUUAUGGGAUUUCAGUAUGAAGUAUAUAUUGACUUAAUGAGCUAUCAUUUUUAGCCUAAAUCGUAUUUUGCACUAUAACAAAAUUUUCAUAUUUUGAUUUGGUAGGAAUUUGAUUUUCUAGUAUUUUUAUUUGAAUCCAAAUGGGGGGUACUUCCUUAUUUAUAUUGUAAACUUAAGUAAAUGGAGUAAUAUAAAAAUAAAUAAAAGUAAAAAGACAAAGACAUUUACUUAAAUGUUGAAAUAGAAAUAAGGUAAUCUGUACACCAGUUGAGCAAAGGGACAAUUUGAAGCACCUACAAUAAUUUUUUCGGUUAGGGGAAAUGCAACACCUCCUUGCGCCUUACUAGGUCCGUCAGUGAUUACGAGAUGCUAUCAAAAGUAAGCAUGCAUGUAUAUAUCCUUGUUAUUUUAUGUUAUCCAACAUGUAGCACCGGAUGAAGGCAAGAAAACAUUAAGAGCCCGUUUGAUAAUCAUUUCAAUUUUAAUUUUUAGUUUUUAUUUUUAGUACUAGUAUAGAGAAAAAAGAGGAAGAAUGGAAGUGAGAUUGAGAUGGAAUAUGAGAAUAGAGGAUGAGAGAGAGGAGUAACAAAAGUGAAAACAAAAACUAAAAACUGAAAUCUAUUUGAAAUUAUUUUCACUUUUGUUACUCUUCUCUCCCAUCUUCUCUCUCAAUCUCAUCCUAACUCUCAUUCUCACUCUCAUUUUCAUUCUCAUUUUCCUCUAUACUCUAGCAAAAUUAACUAACUUUCAGCAAAAGCUAUUAUAUUGUUUUCAGUGUACACAACACAGAUUUUGUGUUCGUCAGUCCACAGCUUUUCCUUGAUUCUAGUGUCUACUGUGCUGAGUGGAAAGAUGAACGGCUAAUUUAGCUCAUUUCUUUUUGUUUUUUGUUUUAAUUAUAUAUUAAUACUACUAGCUAGCUAGCCCACAAUGGGAUUUCUCCUUUUCCCACUUGGGAUUUGUAUUUAAUUGCAACUUGUUAACACGAUCAAUCAUGUGAAUUGCUUGCAAUUAGAGAUGAUCAUUAUAAUAAAAAACUAAAGUGCCCUUCAAGUUUGGCCAAGAAAUACUUAUGCGUGCAUGUGCAUUUGGUCGGCUUGGUGAGAAGACUAUGUGAAGGCAUGAAAUAUUUGUAUACGAGUCAUCUGACUGCCUUCUCUUUUUUCCCUGAUAGCCACCAGGUGCGCCAAAAUUUUAUCACAUCACAUUACCAAUGCAUGGAUGCCGCGUUAUUUUGCAGAUAAUUUAUUAGUGGUCCCUUUCAUCGUUUGUUUACAUAGAGCAGUAAAGUCUUCAUUAUAGGAUAAGAUCCUUAAUUUGUUAAAGUCUCUGCCGACAUGUUAAUGUGUUAUCACUCAGUAAUUUUCAAACAUGUCGGCUCUAUUAUUGCCUCGGGACAAUGGCUCAGGAACCCUAGGGCGUAUAGAAUGGUUGCUUAACUUUAAGCAUAUCAUGUCAGUACGGUAUAGCUCAAUUAAUUUAGUUCUUCUACUCACAUUCAUGUGUGCAGAAUUUAAAAACCUAAAACACAUGCGGAUUUGUGUAUGGGCUAGAGUGGGCUCUAGCAUAGUACUAAAUUUAGAGAUGAAAAAAAUUAGUGUUAAUUGUAUAAAUAAAACCCAGGUGAAUAAAAAAUAGUCCACCCCUCUCCUCCUUUUUAAAAUUGUACCAAUCUAUAUUCAAUAGGUUCUUUAAUAUUAGUAAGAUUUCUCUUAAUUUUUAUUUAAUUUUCAAUUUCAAUUGUUAUUGUUAGCUUUUUAUGAUUUAGGGUUUAUGUGUUAAAUUUUGGGGUCUUUUUUCUUAUGCAAUUUGCUAGGAUUUUAUUGCUAACUCGUCCUUUUUUUUCUGAUUCAAUCUAUUCAUUACUUGAUCUAUGCUUUUAUAAUCUAGUUGUCUGUUGGUUUUGUUGAAUAUUUGUAGCUUGUGAUUGUGCAAUUGUAGAUCUAUAUGACUACACUCCCUACUACUUUUAUUACUUGAUCAAUUACAUUUGUUAGCCUUUAAUUAUCACGCUAUGUCACUUUAUUUAUUUUGAAAAAGAAAAAAGUAAUUGAGACCCCACUUGUGUAUUAUUUUCAAUGUACGAGGCCCAUAAUACUUUACCAAAAUGAUGCGAAAGAAGUUAUUUUCAGGCGUCGAGAAUGUACAUAACAAAGUUGCUUUAUGAGUAAAUGAACCCUAGGUUGGAUGACCUUAUAAUGUAACCACUACUAGUUCUGUUGUUGAAAAAACCAAACCAAUUCGGCUGAUAUCUCCAAUUGAUUGUACAAUUUGUCAAUGGGACACAUAGGCUUCCACAAGUCCCAGAAACUGACAAUGGACGUUCUUAACUUUUGAAAAACUUGUGAGCAGUGUAGGUGGGAAAGUCCUUCUGCAGUCAAUCAAUUCUUGAGAUUGAAAAGGAUCUAGCGAGCCCCAUAUGAUUUGUAAUCGUAUAGGAACAGAAAACAUCUCCACGGUCUAAAAUGAAUUUCUCAGUCCUCAAAAGUCGUAUAUGUUUGCUUUAGUUUUGACAUGUAGAUAAGAGUAGUGGAAACACAAAACCGUCCUUUGUCUUUUUGUGCCCAAUUUUUAUUGACCACAAAAGAAAUUAUGGAUAACCCAUUUUUGUCAUCAAGGACUAAAAGCUUCACUAAAACUAAAUAAUACAACCAAAACAACUAGUCUUCGAUGAUGUAAUGACGUGGUCUCGUUAAAAUCUUAUUUAAAAGAAAUGGUAUGAAUCCACAAACAAAGCUACAUUCAUUGAGCCCACAUUCUAAUUUUUAUUAAAAAUACCAAGAGGCUAUACAUAAUCCCAUUGAUUGAGACAGAACAUCUUGAAUUGUCGUUUACCACUGGAUCUUGCAAUUACGUCCCCAUACAUAAAAACGAACAGACUGGGCUGAACUGUAACGUAGUACUAUGCUGCAUAUACAUCGGUCCAAUAGGCAAUAGACACGUACAUCCAAAUUCUAUCAUAUUAUUAAUUGCCUUUAAACAUGUUUGCCACCACCAUGCAUGCAACAUUUACCAACAAAAGGUGGAUAUGCCAUCCGGUUAAUGCAGGAAAUUAGAUUGUCUUUAGUUUUGUACCUAUCUAAUUUGCAAUUACGUGUUGAUCUAAAACUCAGAUUGAUGCACCAUGCGUUGUAGAUAGAUCAGAUGUUAAUAGACCAUACGUGUUUAUCUUUUUUUCCCAGGGUCAUGAUGCUAGAUCUGUAUCCUAGAUUGUACGUCAAUCCCAUGGUCUUUUGCAAAUGGAGAAGCAAGACCACUGCGUAGAAAUUAAGAGAAGUUCUCAUCCUUGGUGCUUAUAAUAUUAUAAAGAAGUGUUAGGGUCAUCAAGAUUGUUGACAAGCUCAUAUGAUUUGUUAGUUUUUCAAUUUCACAUAUAACUUUCUAUAUGCAAAGGACUUCUAUCUCAAGUGGUAAGAGCAAUUAUCAUACACUUAAGGUCCUGUAUUCGAACUCCUCCCCUAAUAUUUUAGUUGCGACAAUAGAGAAAGUGAGAGUCGAACACACAACAACAAGUGAAAUGAUAAAUACUCUUAAUUACCUUAGUCACAAAUUUCACCUAAUAAUCCAACUUUUCAACUCGAUUGGUGGGCUACAAAUGGUCCGAUCACCCUAUAAUUUCUGUAUCUGUAACUUUCCCAAGAGAAUUUACAAACUUUGGUCUAUAUAGAAAUUAAGUGCACAAACACAAGUGUGCUGACAGUAUUGGCCUCCAGUCCUAUAAAAGGGCACACACUUACACCAAAUUUGUACCAUCCACAGUAUCAUUCACUAGCUAUACCUUAACAAUAAUGUCUCUCAAAUUCCUGCUGGUGGUGUCCCUGUGUGUGCUGGUUGUCACCACUUGUUCUCUUGCUGAUCAUGAUCACCAUAAACCACCACACAAUAGUUAUUAACCAAAACUGAUAUCUCACAUUGAAUUGUAUCACAAACUAGUUCAAUAACCAUGUAUAUAUUUUUUUGUUUUCUGGUUAUUGUAAUCUUAAAUUUCCAUCUUUGCUAUCGAAUCACGUUUGGCAUCAACAGAUUCAAUACUGGUUUAAGUGUGAGUCUAAAUAUUUAUAUAGUGGGAUAACUAGUGAAAAUGAGUUCACAAUAUCCAUCCUUAAAUACAAAGAAACUGAAGAUUUUACAUCUUCAGGAAUAUUCGUCAGCUUGUGUAGAAAAGCAUAUGCUAAAGAGUAGCUCAAAGUAGAGGUGUCAAAUAGAUUAGGCUAGCCUGAGCACAUCAUGAGUUCAGUUCAAUUAAAUAAAACGCAAUACACUAUGUUUUGUAUUUUUAGAUGGAUCAAAAUGACCCAAUUCAAUUCAAUUGGCCGAGUCGGCCAGAGACCCGUUGUGGGUCGUGCUGGCCUAAAGUCCAACGGGCCGGCCCAUUUAAAUUUGACAAUGGAAGCUACGAAUACGGGGUUCAACAGAAAAAAAAUUCCCCAAUCUUACUGCCUAUGAGCAGUGUGAGUUAAAUGAUCAUUACAUCACCAAUUAUGUCUUUGUCAUGGACUAACUGGUGGACAUUGUGACGGAUGUGGAAUUGUUUCCUGAGAGUGGAAUCCUUGAAUCUAAGCUACUAGAUUGCGAAAAAACAGCAAAAUUUAUUAACUCCUUGACUUCGACAUUAUUCAAUUCAGUAGAAAAUCUUAUUUCGCCAAUCUUUGCGACGAAUUGAAUAACUACUAUAAAGAGCGUUGGCACCAUUGGAAGUAGAGUGUCAAACAGGUCGGGCCGGCCCAAGCAAGGUAUGAAUUUGGGCUGACUGUGUACGGCUUGACACAACAUGACUAGUAUUUUUGGGUGGGCCAUGAUGAGGAAAUUUGGUCCAAUGGGUUAAGCCUACUCGAAGCCCAACGGGCCGGCCCAUUUAAAGCUCAUUUAUUAAAUUAUAUUUAUUUUAGAGAAAAUUAUUACAUAAUAUUAUUAUAUUUGUAUAUUAAAUUCAAGUAUGUUUCUUUUUUCUAAUAAUAUAUUUUAAAAUACAAUGUUUUUUCUUUAUAAAUAAAAUCAUUAUUUUUAUUUUUCAAUUUUUUAAACCGAACAAUAAUCUAGUUAUUUUCUAUUUUAAUGUACUUCAAAUAAGUCAUUCGCUUUUUUUUUUUUUCAACAAAUAAUAAAUCUUGUUAGUAUAUACAUAUUUAUAAAUAAAAUAUAAAUAAAAUUGACAAAAAAAUGCAAUUGACACCUCAAGCUCAAAUGUAACAGACAAAAGGAGAGUAUAAAUGGCUGAUCAACUUGGCGAAAUAGCUAGGGAUAGAAAGGGGAAAGGGCUAAACUUAAUUAGGUAGCAAAAUGAAACUUGGCAACGAUAACAAUAAUAGAAAAGGAAAAGGGGAAAGGAAGGAAGUAAAAAGUUAGAAAACACAAAGAAAAAGCUAACACUAAUAUAUUCAAAAAGUAUAUGGAAAAAGUAUAAUUAAAAAAAAAAAAGAAAAAAAAAAGGAACCCAAUAGUCAAGGUUCAUUUUCAAGGAAUGUGAAAAUGGUACUUGGGCGAAAGGGGUAAAUUUAAACUAUAACUAGAGUAUAGAAGGAUAGAAUAAAUACAAUGUUCUUGAACAAUAUAUGACUAGUCAGCAACUGGUCAUGGACUUGAGAUUAAUAUACACAAAAUCACACGUACAUACAACAAACAAUUAUCAAGUCCUUAUAGACCUAGAAGAAAACUAGGUGACAACCUAAGCACUUAGAAGCACUGGUGGACCCAGAAAUUUUUUAGCGGAGGUGCAAUAUUGACUAAGUAUGAAAAAUGGUUUUUUGGAAUAAUCAUUUUCUCAAGAUAAUUUUUGGCGGCUUUUAUUCCUUACACAUCAAAUAAGAAAACUUGAUUUUAUGGGAUUUUAGUAUGAAGUAUAUAUUUACUUAAUGAGCUAUCAUUUUUAGCCUAAAUCAUAUUUUGCACUAAAACCGAAUUUUCAUUUUUUGAUUUGGUGGGAAUUUGAUUUUCUAAUAUUUUUAUUUGAAUCCAAAUAGGGGGUACUUCCUUAUUUACAUUGUAAACUUAAGUAAAUGGAGUAAUAUAAAAAUAAAUAAAAGUAAAUGGACAAAGACAUUUACUUAAAUGUUGGAAAUAGAAAUAAAGUAAUCUGUACACCAGUUGAGCAAAGGAACAAUUUGAAGCACCUACAAUGAUUUUUCCGGUUAGGGGAGGUGCAGUCUACCAGUGCUUAGAAGGAUCCAUCCAUCAUCUAGGCGUUUUAUAUGCUUGGUGAUAUGUGUGUCAGCAUGCAUUAAAUCUGAAAUAGGAAUGAAUAACAAAAGAUGAUUAGGUAGCAAUAUGAAAUAGCUAGGGAUAAAAAGGGGAAAGGGCUAGGUAGCAAAAUGAAACUUGGCAACGAUAACAAUAAUAAAAAAGGAAAGAAGAGGGGGGGAGGGGGGUUGGUUUCAAAAGACAAAGAAAAAGCUAACACUAAUAUUCAAAAAGUAUAGGGAAAAAGGAAAAAAAAAACGAAAGGAACCAACUAGUCACAAAGAAGGUUCAUUUUCAAGGGAGGAAAAAGAUGUAGAAUGUAUUGCGUAUAUGCUUUUUUCGUUAACAAUAUUAGCCCCCCGAUGGUUAAAAAAAGAUUUCUGUUUUGUAAAGAGGUUCUCUUAAAAGAAAGCCGAUUGCCAUAUUAUACAUAAUUAAGAGGUAGAAUUUGAUUGUCGACAUGCUUAUAAUAUUAACUUUAUCCAUAAAACUUUACCAAAAGGUGGAUAUGCCAUCCGGUUAAUGCAGGAAAUUAGACUGUCUUUAGUUUUGUACCUAUCUAAUUUGCAAUUACGUGUUGAUGUAAAACUCAAAUUGAUGCACCAUACGUUGUAGAUAGACCAGACGUUAAUAGACCAUGUAUACGUGUUUAUCUUUUUUAUCAGGGUCAUGAUGCUAGAUCUGUAUCCUUGAUUGUUCGUCAAUCCCAUGGUCUUUUGCAAAUGGAGAAGCAAGACCACUGCGUAGAAAUUAAGAGAAGCUUCAUCCUUGGUGCUUAUAAUUAUAAAGAAGUGUUAGGGUCAUCAGGGAUUGUUGACAAGUUCAUAUGAUUUGUUAGUGUUUCAUUUUCAAAUAUAACUUUUUAUAUGUAAAGAACUUCUAUCUCAAGUGGUUAAGAGCAGUUACCCUAUAUUUAAGGUCCUGUAUUCGAACUCCUACCCUAAUAUUUUAGUUGCGACAAUAGAGAAAGUGAGAGUCGAACACACAACAAUAAGUGAAAGAAUGCUCUUAAUUACUUUAUUCACAAAUUUGUUACAAUUUCACCUAAUAAUCCAACUUUUCAACUCGAUUGGUGGGCUGCGAAUGGUCCUAUCACUCUAUAAUUUAUGUAUCUGUAACUUUCCCAAGAGAAUUUACAAACUUUGGUCUAUAUAGAAAUCAAGUGCACAAACACAAGUGUCCUGACAUUAUUGGCCUCCAGUCCUAUAAAAGGGCACACACUUACACCAAAUUUGUACCAUCCACAAUAUCACUCACUAGCUAUACCUUAACAAUAAUGUCUCCCAAAUUCCUGCUGGUGGUGUCCCUGGGUGUGCUGCUUCUCACCACCUGUUCUCUUGCUGAUCAUGAUCACCAUAAACCUCCACAUAAACCACCACACAAGCCACCUCCUUUGGAAGCAGAAAACUCCGUUGAAUUGGAUGGCAAGCCUCCUAAGGGUCCGAGACCACCCCCAAAGCACAGGCCGCCAACACCGCUUGAUAAUGAGGCAGCAGUGCCAUUGAAGGAUGUCGAAGCCUCGUACAAGCCUCCAGGGAAGAAACCACCACAUAACCCCUACAAGCCACCCUACAAACCUCCUCCAUCAAACUAAGUGCAUGCAUGCCUAGCUAACUAAUUAUAUGUAGCUAGCUAGGUUAUUAUACAUCGACGUGUAUAAAAAAUAAGAGCUGCAUCUGCAUGCAUGAUGAUGUAAUAUUACUCUGUUAUUAGCUUUAUUUUACUACUACUGCUACUAGCUUAAGUUAUUCAUGCUGGAGCCCGUUUGUUGUUGUUAUGCACUUGUAUUUACUUACCAGUCAUGAGCACUGGCGAGUAGAUACAAACUUUAUAUAUAAAAAAAUUAAAUAAAUUAUGAUUGAUCAUAAUUCUAGUCGUGUCGAAUUUACUACUGAAUAAUGAUCAUAAGAGCCAAAUCAGAAAAAAUAAAUUUAAAAGCAUGUUACAAAAAAGAGGGAAAAAAAGAAGAAACGAAUUGGAGUUUUGGUCAAGAAGAAAAAAAAAAAAAAAAACCCAGCACAACAAACUUACGUUUUGGUGAAGAAGGAAAAAAAACGCAGCAAUAGCUGCGCAACCCAAUUGAUUUCUUUGUUUUUAAAAUCUUUUUGUAAUCCUUGUUUAAAUAAGAAAGCAAAACAUGUUUAAAGACUUUUGAAAGCCAACGAAAUGCAGGGCUAAGCAUGUUGUUGAAAGCCCGUAAACUGCAGUUUGCCUCCUCUUAAGUUUUUUUUUUUUCUCUGACCCAAAACGACGUCAUUUUGGCCAGGACUUUUAAAAAAAAAUUAGGCGUGCAGGCAGCAACGCAACGCAACAAAUAGACUUUGGUUGAGUCAUUUUGUCGAACACCUGGAGUGCACCACCACGAGCCGAGUAGAGGUGUAAUUUGAAGUACCUACAAUGGUUUUUCCGGUAGGGGGGAGUACAACUGCACCUUAUUGCGACUUAAUAGGUUAGUCACUGGUCAUGAGCAUGAAACAUACUCAACUUCAUGUUUAGCUAGCUUUUUAAUAAAUGUACUUACUACGUACUCUUGUGUAAUUUAAAAGAUGUAUCAUUAUAAUAAAUUAUAUAUAUAAGGAGUUUCAAUUGAGAGAUUCUCUAAAUAACGUUAUUUGAAAGAUAUUCUCGACUUUCUUUGAGCAAUACUUUGACAUUUCCAUUUGGCUAAAAACAGAAUGGAGUUAAAGGAUAUUGUAUACUAUAAACAAAUUGACACUUCUGUACAAUACGAUUGCGUACUUUUUAUGUUUAGAACUGAAAUCGAAUAAUUCACAUUCUUUAAUUGGAUUGUAUAUAAGAGUAGGGUCAUGGCGUAACUCUUCACCCCAUCGGAGAAGAUUGAAUGUAUGUCCAGAACCGAAAUUGUAAGUAACCCAAAUCAAUUCAAUUUGGGUUAGGGUUGGGGUUGAACCCAAAUUCAGUCAUUCGUUUCUUUGUUUCUUGUAUUUAUUUUCUUUAUAAGCUUUCGUUGCUUUGUUGUUUAAGCCCAAUAUUUCACAGGCUUGGCCUUCUUUUCUUUAAGAAAUUUUUUCGAACUUUUCUGCUUGAAACUAAUGAAAAUUUUGAACUUGUUGCCAAAAGAAAAAAUAAUAAUAAACUCUGCGAUGAUUAUCUUUGUAUCUUUAACUUUUUUCUUUUCUUUUUGGAGAUAAACUUUCUUUGUGUCUAUGAUGUGAGACACAGACACAAAGAAAGUCGGAGUAACGCACUAGAUAUAUACAGUUUGUCGCUAGACCAAAUUCCUACACUUGUCUCGACCAAAAAAAAUUAAAUUCUACACUUGAAAAUUAUAUGUACUGGUUUUUAUCUUUUUCAGCUAUGCGUCCUAAGAUUGGUCAUUUGCUUAUUAGUGGUUAAUUAUUGCAACUUCCCAAGAACCUGUUCCCAGUGCAACUUCUGUUGAUAAUCCAGCUUAACAACUAAAUUGGUGGAUUCUAAAAUGGGAGAUGAAAUUGUAUGUCACAGGGAUAACACUGUUUUGUUAUUAUUAUCCAAUUACGUUCUGUCAUGUAAAAUUCUUAUUAUGUAUGAAAGGACGUGAUUGGUUGGGAAUAACAAAAUAAUUUUAUACCUGUGAUAUACAAGUUUUUCUCCUAAAAUGGGCUAAGCAAAACAACAAAACUAUUUCCUAAAUUUGUCCACCAAAUUUUGUGUCUAAUAUAUGUUAAAAUGUCUUAUUUGUUGGAAAUAAAUAAAAUUGAAAAUGAUUCUUUCGUCCCGAAAAAGACUUGUUUAAAUUACGAUAAAUGAAUAAAUGUAGCAAUAGCAGUUACUUCUGCACCCAGAAUCUUGUGUUCUUCCCUCCUGAAAUAUUGACUUGUAUAUAAGAAAGAAGAGUAAAUAUGAACGCCUAUAUUAAUUAUAUUACUAUAUCCAAAAUGGAAAAAGAUUGGCUCCUUCAAAUUGAAGAGGAGUUCCUCCUUACAAUCAAUUAAUGUGUUUUUGACACGGGUCAAAUUAUUUUAUUUUAUUUUAUUUCUUGAAACUUUGUUAAUAUUGCUCGAAUUUGACAAGUCUCAAAACUCCAUUGAUUUUAAGGAGAAGCUCCUCCUUAAUUUUGAAGGAGCCAUGCUGAUUCAAAAUUCUCUGAUGGGAAAUGAGUGUCGUGGGAGGUAAGUGAGUGCCGAAUUCACAACUCACAGGAAAAAACCCAUACAUCAACUGCCUUUAUAUGUGGUCUAGAGUUGUUACCUCUUAUAAAAAAGAAAGACCAAGACUUCUAGUUUUGCACCAUCUAGAACUCAAUGCUCCAACUAGCUAGCUGGCCAUACAAUGUGUCCUAAAUCCCUGCAAUUGAUGUUGCUGCUCCUUGGUCUGCUUCUUCUCACCACUUGUAUUGGUGCUGAUCACCAUAGACCACCACAGAAGCUACCAAUUUAUAAGCGUCCUCCUCCUUUGGAAGCAGCAAACUCCCUUGAACAAGAGUUGCUGCCAUUUGGUGGCAAACGUAAGAGACCAAUGUCACCGCCCCCGAAGCACAAGCCACCUCCGCCCCAAAAACACAAGCCGCCGCCACCACCUACACCAAAACUCAACCCACACCCACCCCCAACCUCAGCCCACACACCAGCCCCAAACUUACGCCACACACAAACCUUAACCCACCACACCCCAAGAGCACCGNNNNNNNNNNNNNNNNNNNNNNNNNNNNNNNNNNNNNNNNNNNNNNNNNNNNNNNNNNNNNNNNNNNNNNNNNNNNNNNNNNNNNNNNNNNNNNNNNNNNUCUCAACCCACCACCACCACCACCCAGAAAGCGCACGCCACCACCACCACCACCAGCAAGGAGACCACCCCCAAACCUCAUUCCGCCACCACCACCAGCCCCAAAACAGAGCCCCGGUACCACCGCCACCACUCCAAAACACAACCCGCCAGUUACCCCACACUUGAUGAAGCUGCACUAAAGGAUGCUGAAGACCCGUUUGUGCAAGCCACCGUUAGAAUCUACCUAGUCCAUUCACCUAAGUGCCCACCUCACCUCACUAAAUUAUUAUGAAGCUAGCUAGCAAGCUAUCUCAAUAUGUACGCAUAUGCAUCAAAAUAAGUGCUGCAUGCACGCGGGUGGGAUGUAAUAUAAUCAUUUUAUAAGCCUUUACUUUACUACUACUGGUACGUAUGGACUUGGAUUAACUAGUAUAUAUAGCAUGAAAACGCCGCUCACUUUCUUCUUACCAUACAAGCUAAGUACCCUUUGUAAAUCAAUUUGAAGUAUCGUUCGUUAGGGUUCUCCAAUAUGUGUUAAAUCGUUUAUUAAUUUGAUUUGCAAUCUUUAGAUCUUUCAUUCUAAACUCACUUGAUAAUUAUGUCCUAUGUAAUGUAGGGGUUUUUUCUUUUUUUCAAUUACUGAGUUUCAUCUCCCAUGUUCCACCACUAUUGCAACCACCACCCCAAAGAUGGUUUCCUACUACGAACAAAGACAUAUGACACUAUGAUUUAUGGUUUUUAUUUAAUAACAAUGAAUUUGUUUUUAGUUUACUCCUUGAUUUGUAUAAUUCAACACUUUCUUGAAAGAUCAUCUCUGUAAAAAAAUCACUUGAAUCCAAAAUCAUUUAAUCAGUCAAUUAAAAAUUUGAAAUUUUAGUACUUUCUUAAAGCACUAUAUUCAUUGAUUUUGUAGAACACAAUUAGAUAUCGAAACGAUUUUUGAUUUGUAUAAUUUUUUGCAAGGAUAAUGAUCUAUGAAUGUAUACUUAUAAAAUAUAUGAUUUGGAUCGUUGAAAAACAAUUUAUAAAAAGGAACUGAUAUAUAUAGUACAUAUAUACAUAUAUAUUUCUAUAAAAAAAAGCCUUAAUGUUAACAAGAUUAGAAUAAUAAUUUAGUAAGGAAAGAGUAAUAAACUUUUCUUAAAUAAUAUAUUUAUAAAAAAAUUCUACCAAGCGCAUACUUAUUGCUUUUUCCCUUUUCAAAUAUCAGCACCAAACACUUGUAUUUUUCGUUCUCGUGUCAAACUUCCAGACGCAUAAUUUUUCAUUUUCCAAAGCAGUUUUUUGAAAACCCCUUUUGUAAACUGGUAUGUAGGGAAGGAGGAUUUCCUCUCUUUUUUUAGCUGCAAUUGCAGCAAAAUUCUGCAUCACAUAUCUUUCUGGAUUCACACUACCGACUUUAGCCGUGUCAUUCAUUCUGUCAUGUUCCCAUUUUGGGUGUGUAGAACUGGAUUCCACAAAACAUCAUUGCACUUUGGAACACGACUCAGUUCCUUUUUUAGUGCUUUAAUUAGCCAUUUGUAGUUAUCUUUAAUUUUGUAUCUAUCAAUAUCAUUGCAAUUUGGCGUCACUGUGAGCCACAGAAAAAGUCAGACUAACGCACUUGACAUAAUUUGUCUACAUAUGCCAACGAACAAGGAAGAGUAACGCACUAAUUUUUUUUUAUCUUGUUUGCCUUUCUCUAUCCUAUGAUGAUUGGUCAUCGCGAUCCCUUGGUUUCUAGCAAAUGAAGAAGGAAGACUACUACAUAGAAAUUAAGGUAAAUGCUUAAUGUAAACUAUACCACAGAAAAGAUAUACACACCCAAGACACUAGGCAUACGUAUUUAGAUACAAAAUCUCUAUACCUUUGAUGCAACCAUGAGAAUAAGCAAAGUGGUUUAGAUCAUCUAUUCUCUACAAUUUUUUCCUUGAUAUCUCUUUGAAUGGUGCUAGACUAAUUGUGUAUAAUAAUAAGACCAACGGGGUCUAGUCCAGUGAAAAAUGGUUUUGACUUGUGAACCAGUGGUCUCAGGUUCAAACCUCCAUGACAUCUUGGUAGUGUGUGUAUGUGAGUAACCUCCCUCCCCCUUAUAUUAAAAAAAACCUAUGUAUAAUGAGACCAGGAACUUAAUUAUUUAAACUCUCCAAGACCUUGCUCCAAAAUUCGUAUACUUGGAUGAUUGAAUCUCAUCCUUUGGCAACCCAAAAAGAAAAACAGACUGACUAAAUACGUCCACAAUAUGAUAUGUCAAUAUAAGUAUUUUGUAUCUGUUAAAAAAAAAAUACGUAAAAAGAUUUCGAUUAAGUAACUAAUUUGUUGUUAAGACUUUAUCAAUAUACUUCAUAAUAUGAACAAAAUUAUCAACAAUGUGAAUCAUAUAUUGUAGAUUGGUAUUAGUAUCAACCAAUCAGUGUCUAUAGCGGAUUUGGCAUGUAAAUCAAGUGCGAUAUGAUCUAGUCCAAUAAAUGUGGCCUCAAGCAUAAACACCAUAUAUACUACUAGUUUGCACCAUCUAGGCUCACUCCCAACUAGCUAGCUAGCAAAAAAAAGGAUGCGUCCUAAAUCCCUGCAAUUAGUGUUGUUGCUAUUCCUGGGUGUGUUGCUUGUCAGCACUUCUUCUCUUGGUGUUGAUCACCACAGAUCAAUACACGAGCCACUUCCUUUGGAAGCAGCAAACUCCUUUGAACAAGUGUCUCUGCCAGUGCCAGGUGGCAAACAUCUCAUAGGACCAAAGAGAAAGCUUGCAAACCAAGAGUACAGGCGCCGACCACCCGGAUAUCCGGCUCCAGAACCAAGGCACAGGCCAUCACCACCACCUCCAGCCCCACCUCCCCUGCCAAUUCUCAAUCCCCCACCGCCCCCAAGACGCGGCCGGAGGCCACCACCCCCAAACCUCUACCCGCCACCUCCCCUGCCAAUUCUCAAUCCCCCACCGCCCCCAAGACGCGGCCGGAGGCCACCACCCCCAGAUCUCUACCCGCCACCUCCCCUGCCAAUUCUCAAUCCCCCACCACCCCCAAGACGCCGGAGGCCACCACCCCAAAUACCCAGCCCUGGCAGUGGUAGCUAAGCCGCCAAUUACCCCACCAUGAUGAUGAGUCUGCAUGCGGAACCAAAGGAUACCAAAGGCUCGCUGAAGCCACCCUCAAAAGCUUGUCCUUUCAACUAAGAGCCUUAGCUCACUUCACUAGUUAUAUGUAUAUAGCUGGCUAGGUUAAUAUUUGCAUGAUAAAAUAAGAGCUGCCCUUACUAUGCUCAUAUACUCCUUUGGAUAUUUGGGGCAGCUGGUUGCUCAUUCCCGUGUUUAAUUACGUUUGUAAGUUUGCUCAACUAAUAUUUAGUCAUGUACCACGUACUAUGUGUAACUUAAAACAUCUUUAUUAUACAUAAAGCAUGGACUAUAUCGAUCUAUAUGAGCUCAUGCUUGAUAAUUCUCGGAGCAGAACCUGUCAUUGCCAAUUAAGCUUAUAAAUAAGGAGAGGAUCUGGGUCCUUUGUUGAAAACCAAUUAAGUUGAGAUAUAUUCCAGUUGGCCUCGAAGAAAAGUGGUUCUGGUCUAUGAGCCAAAUAAUUUAGGGAAGUGAAAUAUGGACAAAAUGAUUGAUGUGAUGUAAUUCAAAUUUAAUAAUGAGAUAGAAAGAAUAAACGAAAGAUAUUGAAAAAUAUGCCUAAAUGAGAUGCAUUUCUAAAAGGAUUCUAAUUCAUUAAAAAGCAAGGAAGAUCAAGGAAAUAAAAUCAUAUCAUACUCCAAAAAACAUUCAUAUUAUGAGUGCAUGAAAGAUGAUAUAUCUGACCCAUGGAUCAAAUGCAUCAUACGUGUUAAGUCACAAUUAUGGAAUUCGGGGAUUACAGAGCUAUUUCAAUCCUGCAGUUUCUAGAAAUUGAACACACCAAUUCUGCUUCAACCAAACAACUAAAUGACAUUUCCAAACCUAUACUAAGUUCGAGGAAAUGCUAACAUAAAUAUCAUACCAACAAACUCUCAUGACAUCUUAGUGGCUAAUAGCUAACUAUCACAAUUAUUGAUGUCCAUUGCGUUAUUUGGCACUAAUAAUGCCUUUAACCACAUCAUCCUAUACAACUGUACACUAAUGUCAGUGAUUUGCUCAAAAUUGUUGUAACGUCCUAAAUUGCAAUCCACCAUUUCUAUUAAUUAUUUUUAAAAAAACAAAGUGAGAUAAGGGAAUCUAGUGCUUAUAGUCCAUCCUUACAUGAUUGCCAUAUUCUAGAUUUAAGCUCCAUAUGACCCCUAAAUAGCAAAUGUGCAAAAUGGCACUUCGAUGAGAAGGAAGAACAUCUAAGCAUGAAAAAAUAUAUAUUAUAUAUAUAUUAUAUAAUUAUAUAAUUAAAUAAGUGGGAGAGAGAAAGGAGGUGUGAUGAACUUACCGCCGUAUACGUGCGUGUGAAAUUGGUAUGCUGCCGCAGAAGUGCUCUUAACGACCCAGUUUCAAAGUGUUUUCUCAAAAUUGGUGGCCUUCUGCAUCAUCUUUCUGGUUUGUUUCCGCCGCACUCACAAACCCGCUUUACCCCUCUCGUUCAUUCCCUGAUCUCCACUUUCUUCUUUAAGGAAACAAAGAUUUCAAAGAAAUAUUCUUUGUUUUUUUACUUCUGCGUGCACCAUUCGUUGUUGAAAGAUUUCAUUUUCGUCUUGGGGGGAGGAUCAAGAAGGAACUUGGAGAUGGAACCUGGUGUUCUUGAUAGUAUAAUUAAUAAUGGGCUUAUUGAAGUUAGAGGGAGACCAGGCAAACAAGCCACCACACCGCCACCCCCAAAGCGCAAAACAUCAUUGCCCCUUGGAACACGACUAUAAUAUUCGAUCCCAGUUCCUUUUUUUAGUGCUUUAUUUAAGUGGGAAAUGGGGAAAUUCAUUUGAUAUCCCAUAAACAUAAUAAGGUCGAUGUCAUCGUGUCAUUCAAAUACUGCAGGAAAUGAGUGAAUUUCAGGACUAUUAGUCUAAUCCUAUUAAACUAAUUAGCCAGUUGUCGUCUUUAAUUUUGUACCUAUCAUUGCAAUUUGGCGUUGAUGUGAGCCACAGAAAAAGUCGGACUGACGCACUAUACAUAAUUGCGAGAAUAUGAAGAAAUGUCCCACAUCAGAAGGUUAAGAAGCAUAUAGCAAGGACUUAUGAGAGCACUUUCAUCUAUGGUGUCAUGAUAAAGGGCAACGGCAAGUGAAUAGUGACUGCCCUACCCUUUUUUAUUUUGUUUUUCCACCUAUUGUCAGGGUAAGUAAAGGCUAACACUAUUUAAAUGAGAUAUACGGAGAGGAAUUUGUAUGGAGUUUUGACGUGAGAAGUGAAGAACAUGGCUAGGAAUUUAUAAAUAAAUAAAAUUAUGAAUUUUUUGGUUUUUUUUUUAAUUUUUUAAUUUUUUUAAUUUUUUUGGGUAUUUAAAUUGGUCGAUGAUGUCAUGCUGAUAUUAGCAAUCCCAGUCAGCAGCCCAGGCGAAGUCUUAUCUUCUGGCUUGCCCAAGUUGAUGCAGCCCACUCCUUGCCCGGGCUAGCCUUCACAGCUAGAGUUAGUUUUUGGGGGCUAGGGGGCCUUCUGCCCUUGCUGGCUUGCACGGGUGGAAGUGCUCAAAAGAGUUGAGCUACAACUCCUAUUGUGUGAAGCUAUCCUAACAUCUACAUGUACUCCACAUCACCCAAUGUAUGUUGUCCAUGUGUUAAGCUUGAAAUGUAGCCAUAAAAUGCGAGGGUGUGUGAAAAUAUGAUAAUAACCACGACCAUAAUCAAAAUGGCUUAAAUUAUCUAUUUUCUACAAUAAUUGUUUCUUCAACAUCUUUGAAUGGCGCUAGACUAACGGUGUAUGAAGAGAGCAUAAAUUUGCCCGUUCGUUUAUGUUUUCAAGGCACCAUUUUCAUUUUAUGUUUCAAAUUUUCACCAAAUACGUCCUUGGCACCGCUAAAUUGAAAAACACAAGAUUUUUUUUUUGAAAAUGAAUUCAGCAACCAUGAACAAAUAUUGAAAACGAUAAAUCAAUUUAUCAUUUUCUGUGAAAACAAAAACGUGGCCUUCCUUCUUUCUUAGGGUCAGUUUGGCAUUGCUAUGUUGUGAAAGUAAUCGCUGUUAGAUUUGUUGUGAGAGAAAUUAACUAUGAGAGAAAGCAGUUUGGCGUUUGGUAAAUUUUUUGUUAAAAGUGUUGUUAGUACCGAUUCCCCCAUAAUAAAAAAAUGAUUCAUUUAUAAUCAUCAAACUCAGUGCCUCUUCCAAACUAAUUCAUGCAUAAUCAGAAAAUGAAAGCACCUUAUUAGUUGUUUUCCCUUAUAAAUUUCUCUCACAGCAAUUUUUAACAAUAAGUGAUUUUCUCAUAGUUUACCAAAAGGGCUAGGCUUUCCAAUUUUUUAAAAAAAUCACUUAUCACCUCAAAUAAGCAAUCACUAAUAAGGUGCUUUCGUUUUCUGUGAAAACAAAAACGUGGCUUUCCUUCUUUCUUAGGGCCAGUUUGGCAUUGCUGUGUUGUGAAAGUAAUCGCUGUUAGAUUUGUUGUGAGAGAAAUUAACUAUGAGAGAAAGCAGUUUGGCGUUUGGUAAAUUUUUUGUUAAAAGUGUUGUUAGUACUGAUUCCCCCAUAAUAAAAAAAUGAUUCAUUUAUAAUCAUCAAACUCAGUGCCUCUUCCAAACUAAUUCAUGCAUAAUCAGAAAAUGAAAGCACCUUAUUAGUUGUUUUCCCUUAUAAAUUUCUCUCACAGCAAUUUUUAACAAUAAGUGAUUUUCUCAUAGUUUACCAAAAGGGCUAGGCUUCCCAAUUUUUUUUAAAAAUCACUUAUCACCUCAAAUAAGCAAUCACUUGGCAUGUAGCCCGACCAUUCACACACAGCCCGACCAUUUUCCAAACCUCUAGUAGUUGUGAAUCCAUCUGUCAAGUUUUGGACUCCAAAGUCCCGGGCGCCAAUCUCCCAGCCAUACUCAAGUGCAGCCUGGUUGCUCAUAUCUUCGAAAGGUGUCCGGGUUGUGUGAACUUUCACCACGCCCAAACGCUCUCACAGUUGAUUUCUCUCACAACAAGUCUGACAAUGAUUAUUUUCACAGCACAGUAAUGUCAAACUGGCCCUUACUCUCAUUCAACCACUUAGCCUGUAGCUUUUGUUUUUCUUCUCACCUAUCUCAUCUCGUCUCUGGGAUAUUGGCCCUCAUUCUCCCCAUAACAACCCACUGCUCAUUUUUUUCAAUUUAAAAUUAUUGAAGGAAAGCCCACAACCACCAUGAAACGAGAUCGCCUACCUUCAUCCAUUAUUUUGGGUCUCUUUUUUUAUAUUAUCAUUUUCAUAUCUGCGCUUUAAUGGAGGCAAAAAAGCAAGCAAGGCAGCAUGUUUUUAUUUUUAUCCUUUAUGUAUGAGAGGAUAAAGAAGUAAUGACCUUAUGUGAAAGAUUUUCGUUUGUGCUUUGUUGUUAAGGAGAGGAAAGGAAGAUAAAGAUAUCACUUUGUCUUUCUCUUUUGCUUUUCUGUUUGUACUUUUUAAUACCCAAAAAUAGCCCAAUCAAUGGAAGGUUUUCGACAGUGUGGAGACACGAUGGAAUACGUAAUUGAAGUUUAUCUUAAUUUUCAUAUGUUUGUAGAAGACAAGUUUUCAUUAUUUUUGUUCUUAGAAAAUGUUUUCUAGUUAGUUUGUCAUACACAUUCUCGAAUUUUGAAAAUACAAAUUUGUUUUUUUGUUUUCAUUUUCUUAAAAUAUUUUAUGAUAAUAUUUUCCAAAAACGUAACUAGACAACUCACCAAAACCCUGCUCCGGAUGCAACUUCUCUUGAUAAUCCAAUUGUUCCAACUUAUCAACUCCAUCGUAAGUUUGGAUGACUGAAUCUCGUCCUUUGGUAGCCCAAAAAGAAAAAUAAACUGACUAAAUAUGUUCACAAAAUGACAUGUAUAAGUAUUUUGUAUGUUGGAAAAAAUACUAAAAAAUUUCGGUGAAGUACCUAAUUUGUUGUUAAUAUUUGAUCAAAUACACUUCAUAAUAUGAAAUAUCAACGAUGUGAAACGAAUAUUGUAGAUUGGUAUUAGUAUCAACCAAAAAUAACUGUCUUUAGUGGCCUCAAGUACAUCACGUAUACUACUUGUUUUGUACCAUCUAGGCUCACUUCUUCCAACUAGCUAUAGAUCUAGCAAAAUAUAAUGCUUCUUAAAUCCUUGCAAUUAGUAGUGCUGCUCUUCCUGGCUGUGUUGCUUGUAAGCACUUCUUCUCUUGGUGCUGAUCACCACAUAUCACCACACGAGCCACUUCCCUUGGAAGCAGCAAACUCCUUUGAACAAGAGUCUCUGCCAGUGCCAUUGGGUGGCAAACAUCUCAAGGGACCAAAGAGCAAGCCACUGUCAAACGAAGGGUACAGGCGGCGGCGACCACCCCGAUGCCCGAUUGACCCUCCAGAACCAAAGCUCAACCCACCACCUCCACCACCAAACCUCAUUAAUCCGCCACCACCCCAAGACCUCUACCCACCACCACCGAGAAAUCUUAACCCCCCACCUCCCCCAAGAUAACGCCCGUUGCCACCAGCCUGCCGAAUCCCAUACCCCCGUUGUUCGCCACCACCAUGGUGAUGAGCCUGCAUGCGGUAAUGGAUUCCAAAGGCUAAUUUAAGCCACGCUCCAAAGCUUGUCCUUUCGACUAAGAUCCUAGCUCACUAGCUAUGUGUACAGCUGGCUGAUAAAAUAAGAGCUGUUCUUAAGCAAUGCUCAUGCUCCUUUGGAUAUUUGGGCCAGCUGGUUGCUCAUUUCUCUGUUUAAUUAGGUUUGUAAGUUCGCUCUUUUCGAAUGAAUAGAAAAAGAAAAUUAUCAGAUUGGUAUAUUAGAUCAACCAGAAAUUAAAAAGUUGAGACAAUUGCUUGUUAAAUAAUUAUAAAUAAAAAAACAAUAUAAGCAGCAGUUACAUAUUGCCAGUAAGUAUCUCAUAAUCAUGUUUGUGCUACCCAACUUCCUCAGGCUGCACCACCAGCCUAUGCUAACGCUUGACGGACCUGUAGGCUGAAGGCCUUUUGAUUAGGUGUGCCAGAUUUUUUUGGUAAAACGUUAGCCCAGAUUGAGUUCAUGCUCUUCCUAUUCCUAAUAGCACUGCAUUAUCCAGCUCUAGUUCAACAAAAUUCCGCUAGAAGAAAAUUAAUAAUUUUUUUUUUUAACGGAUUGAUAGAACAAAGAAGAAGAAUUUGAAAGCAUUAAUUUGAUUACAAUCCUUUUCAAAAUCAUAUUCAUUUGAUAAAAAUAAUAAUAAGUUAACUAAAAUCGAACUUAUUUGGGGCGAGCAUGUACUCUUUGUGAUAUUUCACUUCUUCUUUUUUGGCUUAUUUAUUGAUAUGUUUCUAUGCUUUACCGAAAAUUUCAGUUUACCUCUUGACUUUUUAACUAAGUCAAUAUGCCCCUUUUGCUAUUAUUAUGUGUCUCACGUUGCCCUAUUCCGUCAACUUUCUCAAUAAAAAUGUUAUCUUUGUUGACCUAACAUGAACAUUUUAAUAAUUUUAGCUAUUAAAAUAAUUUUAAACAUAAAUUAAACACAAAAAACAGUUAUAAAUAUUUUAAAUUUCUUUUUAAAAUUCAAACAACUUUCAGUUUUAUGGAUUAGUUAAAAAUCAAUAAAUAAAAAUAAUAAAAAAACUUUAUCACAACUUAGUUAUAAAAUAAAUUAGUUAAAAUUCAAACACCCUCCCCUGCCCCAGCCACCUCAACCACUAUCCACCACCGUUCACCUCCAUCUCUCUCUCUCUCUCUCUCUCUCUCUCUCUCUCUCUCUCUCUCUCUCUCUCUCUCUCUCUCUCUCUCUCUCUCUCUCUCUCUUCACCAACAAAACCCAACACUCUCACCCCAAACCCCGACCAGGUCCAGACUUGAUAUUCUCCAACUUCAAGCAAUCAUUUGCUUCCAAAUGGUUGGGAUAUGGAUGGAAGAUGAUGAUGACGACGACGACGACAAGGGUGGAUGUGGCUUGUAGGGCCGUGGGGGUGGGAUUGGGUUGUAAAACUGCAAUUCAUCUCCCCAAUUUCAAAAAGACUUAUAUGUGAUGGAGAUAACACUAUUUUGCUAUUUUCAGUCAAUAACACAAUUAUAAGUAGAAAAGUUAUCUUAUGUGUUAUUACAUUAUUAGCCGAGAAUAGUAAAAAAUGAUAUUCCCGUUGCAUGAGAGUUUCACCUACUUCUUCCAUGUCUUGAAUUAGUAAGUUAAGGAAGGGAGAAAAGAGGGGCUAUGGAGGUGAAAGGUGGUUGCGGCAGGCACUGGCGGACCUAGAAAUUUUUUAAUGGAGGUGCAAUAUUGACUAAGUAUGAAAAAUGAUUUUUCGGAAUAAUCAUUUUCUCAAGAUAAUUUUUGGCGGCUUUUAUUCUUUACACAUCAAAUAAGAAAACUUGAUUUUAUGAGAUUUUAGUAUGAAGUAUAUAUUGACUUAAUGAGCCAUCAUUUUUAGCCUAAAUCAUAUUUUGCACUAAAACCGAUUUUUCAUAUUUUGAUUUGGUGGGAAUUUGAUUUUCUAGUAUUUUUAUUUGAAUCUAAAUGGGAGGUACUUCCUUAUUUACAUUAUAAACUUAAGUAAAUGGAGUAAUAUAUAUAAUAAAAAAUAAAGUAAAAGGACAGAGACAUUUACUUAAAUGUUGAAAAUGGAAAUAAGGUAAUCUGUACACCAGUUGAGUAAAGGGGCAAUUUGAAGCACCUACAAUGAUUUUUCCGACGAAAAAAGCUGCAGUUGCACCUUCUUGCGCCUUAAUGGAUCCGCCACUGACCGCAGGGUGAGGAGGGGUUGUUGGGUUUUAUUUUUUUCUAUUUUUUUGUGUGGAUGCUGGGUUUAAUCAUCGAGAAUAUCUUUUUAAUUUAGGUAAUUAUCAAAUUAAUAAUCAUUUCCUUAACAUUGGCCACAGAUUGGCCUGUAAAAAUCAGGCCCAAACACACUUUAGCCGUCUCAUUCAUCAAUUGGAAAUGGCAAGUGAACAUGAGAUUUCCACAUUUUAAUGGUUGAAGUGGAGGCACAAAAUUCAUCAUUGCACUGUGGAACACGACUAGAAUAUUCGAUCUCAGUUCUUUCUUUUUAAUGCUUUAUUUAAGUGAGAAAUCUGAAAUGAAAUUACUGAGACAUAUAGAUCUUCUUAUCCCAUUAAGGUCAAUGUCAUCGUGUCAUUCAAAUACUGCGGGAAACAUAAUUGUACUUAUCAUUGCGAGAUGGGAGUAGUGGCAGAUUCAGGAAAUUUCAUUCUAAGGGCCAACAUGGAAAAAGAUUAAAAAAUUCCAAUAUUAAAAAAUUUCAAUACAAAAUAGACCCAUCGAAAUGAAAUAAUAAUAUUCUAAUUCAUAGUUAAUAAAUAAAACCAUACAAAAUUCUCAUGUUCAUUAUCAAAGAGAAUUGCAUCGACUUCAAAAAAUAAACACAUGCGGCAAUAAACCAAAAAUAUCUCUAAGAAUGUGAUAAUAAACCAAAAAUUAGCACAAUCAUUUUCGCCUUCCAAGGCGUCUCGUCCUAUUCGACAUAAGAACUUGCAUAUAUUAGUGUAAUCCUGCUCACUUUAGGUCAUUUAGGUCAUUUUUGAGGUCCAUCGUCGUUUUGAUUUUGAGCUUAAUAUGCAUGUCUGUUGGGCUUUAGCUCUCAAACUUUGACCCUUAUGAGUAAUGUCUUUGGGGGAACUUAUUCAAGCAAAAAUUUCUUCAAUACGUAAGAGUUAGGUUAUUAUUAUAAAACUCUUUGUGAAUUAAACAUCUAAGGCUUUAGAUUGACCUUAGGUCCCUUCAUGCAUUCAUAUCAGACAUGAAAAAUUAUUUUAUAUAAAAAUAUUGGCUAAUUAUAAAAAAUAGUUUUACAGAAUAAUCAUUUUCUCAAGAUAAUUUUUGGCGGCUUUUAUUUCUUACACAUUAAAUAAGAAAACUUGAUUUUAUGGGAUUUUAGUAUGAAGUACAUAUUUAUUUAAUGAGCCAUCAAUUUUAGCAUUUUUCAUAUUUUGAUUUGGUGGGAAUUUGAUUUUCAUAGUAUUUUUAUUUCAAUCCAAAUGGGGGUAACUUCCUUAUUUACACUGUAAACUUAAGUAAGUGGAGUAAUAUAAAAAUAAAUGAAAGUAAAUGGAGUAUUUUAUCAAGCAGUUUGUGGGCAAUUUGCAGAGGUCAACAUCUUCGCCUCCAAUGGUGGAUUCCGGGCUUGCAGUGGUCAAUUGACCCAUCUUGCCCCUAUGUGGAUCCGCCCUUAUGAGCCACAAAAAAAGUCGGACUAACGCACUAAACAUAAUUGUGAGAAUGUGAAGAAAUGUUUUAUAUUGGAAAGUUAAGAAACAUAACAAGCCUGAUCGUUAGAGAAGGUGUACUAAUUAUCUUCAUUUUGAUGUUAGAUCGCUAUGUUAUUGUAUUGGCCCUUGAUGGCUAGAUUGUAUUAGUCAUUUAUGACUAGUUUCUAUUGACCCUUUAUAAUUAAUGAUUUUUUAAUUAAAUUACAAAUGCAAUCCCAUAAUUUUUAUAUAUAACUACAUGAGCUAGAUGGUAAGAAAUAGAAUCACCACUUAAUUUUUAUAUAUAACUACAUAAGCUACAUAAUUUUUAUAACUAAUGUCUUUAUUUCAUAUUAUUUAAAGGAUGAGUAUUAAUUCGCAUGUAUGAAAUGGGGCAAACUAUAACUAACUUGUGGUUUAGUAAUAGGUUAUUUAGAAUGUUGAAAUAAUUUUGAGCAAUAGUUACUGAUAUUAGUUGUAUACGAUGAAGUGGCUAAAAAACACUAUUAAUGACUGAUAGUUAACAUCCCACAAUUAUUGGUGCCCGUUGUUUUAUUAGAUACUAAUAAUAACGUCUUUAGCCAUCUCAUUAUGUUCAACUAAUGUUAGCGAGUAUUGCUCAAAAUUGUUGUAGAGUCCUAAGAGCAACUCCAGCGGCAAGCCCAGCCAAAGACUGGGGGGAGAAAAAAAAAACCCCCAAUUCCAGCGAGGAGCUCAAGCCCGGGUUGGGAGUGGGACCCACGAAGUCGGGCUGGCCCUCAGGCCAGUUCAGCCCGAGCUCAAGCUCGAGGGCUGGGCUGAUGUCAUUGCUAACGCCAGGCUGGCGUCAGCCCACUCAUUUUUUUUUCUGUUACCAUGUGGCGUCGUCUAGGCUCUCCGAUCGAAUUUUUUCCUCCAAUCCAACGGCAGUCAAUUUUUUUGCAAUAAAAUACUGAAAUUCGGAAAAUUUUUAAAAAAAUACCCCAAAAUUAAUGAAUUUUUUUCUAUAAAUACUAGUCAAUUUUUUUUUUUAAAAUUUAUCUGAAAUUUGAAAUUGAAAAUUUUAUCCGAUUAUGAGAUAUGAAUAGUAUUGACACGUAGGAACCCGAAAAUCUUAUCCUAAAAUAUUAUCCAAAUUAAUUAUUGAGGUAAAAAAAUUUGUGAAAAAAACAAAAAAAAUGAAUAGUAAUUGCCCUUUGCCAUGGCAACGGGUGGAAACACAAAAUACUAUUUGCAAGGGCAACCACUAUUCACAUGAAUAGUGGCUGCCCUAGCUCUCCCCUUGCCAUGGCUAAUGGCAAAUGGGUGGAGUUGCUCUAACAAGGCGGGUCCUGAAUCUUUCAGGGCACUGGGCAAAUGUAAAAAAUUAGGGCCUAUAUAUAUAAUUUGUUUUUUUUAAACUUAGUAAUGGACUCACUCUCAUUUUUCAACCAAGAUCUAACCUAUCUAAAUUAACUAAAAAUUUAACAUUCAAGACAAAUAAAUUAUAUCAAUCGAAACUUGAACAUGAUUUUUUUGUUCAGAUUCAUUGACUAAAUCAUUAUCAAUUCCUACAAAUUCUUCAACAUGAUUUUGCUGUUCAGAUUCAUUGACUAAAUCUUCAGUUGAGUUAUCAAGUGAACUAUUUGUUUUGUUAAGAAAUUUUUUAUCUAGAGCUCCAUUUGAGAUUGAGUUCAUUUUUCUCUCUUUUUUUUUUUUUCUCUCUCUCUCUUUUUCUUUUUCGUUUUUGACUUCUAGAUGGUUGUUUCUUAGGGAACAUUGUUACUUGGAAACAGAAAUAAUACAAGAAAAGCCAAUACAAUUUUAAUACUUCAAAGAAUAAACAAAGAACAACAUAACCUAGAAUUUGAGAAACCACUCCACAGCAACAAACUUGAUAAUUCAAAAUUUGCAAUCAAUUAGAGCUUAGAGGAAUUCAUGCAAAAAGAAUGUGUAACUCAUGAAUCUACAAACAAACAAACAAACAAACAAAAAUCAUAUUUUCCUUUUCAUUUGAUAUCAAAUCAAGAAAAAUUACCUUCAAUUGAUUUCUAUAAUGGCCAAUUUUGCACUAUACAAAAGGCCACACUUUGGAUCUUGGAAUAUCCCCAAAGUACCAACAAAAAAUUAUUUAGGGAUUUACAACUCUGGAACUAGUAAGAGAGGCUUAGAUGAGAUGAGAUGAGAAAAAGAAGAGGAAAAAGAAGAAUAAGAAGAAAAAUUUAGAAUAGAUAACAUUAACCUGGAGGUGUGGAACGGUUAGCACAAAAGAGUUCUUCUUGAGGAGCGGAAGAGAUGAACGCCAUUUUUUUUUCUCAAAAAUAUUAAAUCAAUUUAUAAUAAUAUAAUAUAGCACUUAUAAAUAAAUAAAAAUUUGGGCCCCCUUGAAUAAUGGGCCUAGGGAAGUCGCACUGACUACUCCUAUUCAGAGCCGGGCCUAAAUAUCUAUGCCUGAAAAAACAAGAAUAAUUAAAUAAAUGCUUAAUUGCUACAUUGUACCCUGAAACAUUAGUCAAAUCCUACUUUACCCUCUUAAAGUUAAAGUGACCCAUUUUGGUCCCUUGACUAGGGUUUCAUGUGUCACUUAACCACUUUUCAUCAACUUCAUCCCAAGCACCGUUGAAAUGAUGACGUGGUAGGGGUAUAUUGGUCAAUUCAUCUGAGUUGGCAUAUUUCCCACCAAUCUGAGUUGGUGGCGUGGGUUUGUGGACUUCACCUCGAACAAAAGUCGUUUUGACUGCUGAUGUGGCGGUGUGGACCCCACUUGGAACAAAAGAUCCCCAAGAGCUCACGUUAUUAAACCCCAAUUGAGCUUGCUGGUGCGGAUAAAAAAAACCCUCAAUUUCACUUCCUCCCCAUAGAAGACGAUAGAACUCUAGAAAUCAGAGGUUGGGUUUCCACGAAAAUUUAAGAUGAAGCCUGAAAUAAUUGAAGGAGGGGAAUAGCUGGAUGUGCAGCACAUUUGCUUUCGUGGGAAGAUAGCUCGCUUACAAAACCCACUUCAGGGGUAAGUUUUGUUGUUCAAAGUCUCUAAAUUUUGUUCUAAUUUUUCUUAAUUACUAUUAAUGGUUGAUGCAUAGGAGGAAAAAAGGAUGUGGUUUUUUUUGUUUGGGUGGAUGUUGAAUUUCUACCUAAAGAGAAAGCUCUGGUGGCUUGGCUACUUAGAAGAUUAAAGGAACUGGAAAAGGAUGUUAGGCGUCGUCAAUCAAGAGAAAGAUAGUUAAUGGGUUGCUUUCUUCUUUCAUGGUGUAGGGGUUUUUUCUUUCUAGCAGUUGAAAAUGGGCCUGAACUGUUGUAAAUAGCGAAUGAAUGAAGUUACCUCUGUGCUUGAGUUCAAGAAUCAGGCCCCAAGAGUGAUUCGAAAAGUUUGUGGAGCCUUAAGAAGCACUUUGGUUCCUUUCACCAUCGAGACAGACAACUAUUACAAAUCAAUAUUAUGGCUUGCCUUGAGAAGCUUAUGGCAUGAGAGCUAAGCUUCCAUAAGUUUAGCAAUAGAGAGAGAGAAAGCUUGGAUUUCUUAUAGGAACCAGGGUUCAGAGCAAGAGGAAAGGGAAAUUUGAGAAUAUUUUGAUGAGGGAAAAGAGGGAAAGAUGAGGAUAAAAGGAUGGGUGACUUAAGUAGAUCUUCCAGCAGCUUGAUGAUUGCUUCAUCGUGCUCUGGAUGGUUGUUUUGCUGGAUAUGAGGUGCCCCUUUUUAUAGGCACUAGAAGCCCCUUCUGGUUCAGGAACCCUAGCUAACUUUCCCCAAAUUUUGCCAAGUCUUCUCCUCAAUUUCCCUUUACUUCCUUUGAUUCAAUCCUUUUUGGUGAAAAUUCCUUAAUCCAAGCAUAUUAGGGCAGAGCAUUUUGGGGCUCCAUGGUUUUCCUGCAGCUGACUUCUUCCAUCAUGGGUGAGGCACCUCUUACUUUUCAUUCUGGUUUUUCUACCAAAGUUUGUAGAGGAAAGAAUGGGUAAGGGUGCUGGUCUAAAAGGUGUCUCAUUUCCAGUAGCCAUGCACAUGGAUUUCACUUGGUUUUAACGAUGGCUUAAUUUUGAUUUGGUUUUAAUAGGGUGCUGGGAUUUUUUCUAAGGUGCUAGGCUAUUUAUUCUCUCUUAUCCUUACCCAUAUAUUUGGGCUGAAGAAAUGGGCCUGAGUUUGGUGCUCCCAAACAGCCUAAAACUUCCAUUUCUUGGACCAUCAAUAAGCCUCAUGAACACUCGUAACCAUCCAUACCACAACCUACUCAAUAAGCCCCAGGCAUUUGCGUGGCUUGGACCUACUUAAGCUUGUAGCGUGGCUUGGUACUAAAAUAAAGGUUUUCUUCGCUUGACAUUGUGUGUCGUGUGGUGUGUUUGUGCUCAGGCUCUGCCUUAUUGUAACGGGCUAUGGACGGGACAUUGAGCGCGGGUUCAUGGAACCAUUACAUUUUACAGGCUCAUUGCAACCUCUUUGCGUGGCGGGUUGCUUAUUGGCUUGGUGUGGCAUGCAUACCAUAACUUGUGCAAGAGCAUAUGACAAAUUCUUCCAUAACCCCCGUCGGGUUUCUUUCUCGAUUGAGUGUUGUAUUGGGUUAGAAAUAUAUUUGGGCCCAGCCUUGGAUUUUUUGGGCCUCAACACACGAGGUUUAGUAAUUAUGUUGUUUUGGCAGUUUCUGCAAAAGUUGUGACAUAAUUAAGCCAUUAGAGGUUGGCGAUGGAUGAAAUAUGGUGAUUUUGGAAGUCUGUAUUUUGCAUGAGUAUAUCUUGUACGGUUCGGGGGGUAAUCGGCGUACUCCGAUCAGUGGGGGAGAAUCUUUGGCUCUAUCGGUGAUGAUGGAUGAAUUAGGGUGAUGUGGAUGUAUUUUGCAACUAUUUGUAACAAAUCAUGUAUUGGUACUUAUCUAUUGAACAAAAUGUGGGAGGCAGUUUUAUAAUUGGCAUUAUUCUAGUACUUAUGUAAUGAAUAUCAAAAGAAUUACCAAAACAAUAGUACCUCCAACACUUCUUAACAGUUACCAAAACAAUAAUUAUGAACAUAACAAUUCCUCACAAAUAUCAAAACACAAUUUAUAACAUUACUUUCAAUCUGGAAAACAUUGAUGAAAAUCAAUACUAGUACUUGAUAUAUGUUACGAGCUAUCUAACAAGGUUUGUCCUAAAUAGUUGGACUUGCAAUAUAUCAAUUUAAGCAUCAUCCAGCACUUGCACAUCAUCAAAAUAUAAUACAUGAAAAGCUCGUCUAAAGAGUCAAUUCAGCCAAAUCACAAGACGUGCACAUCAUCAAAUUAACAGUUUAAUAAGAGGCAUUUUAACAAAACACGCAACACUUGCACAUCAUCAAAAUCUCCAAGGCUGAUAACUAUCUAACAACUCCUUCUUAUUGGUAAAUUUAUUCCUUUUGGCAGGAGAUUUGAACAUUUUUUUUUUGUACCAGUGCCAAAAGGCUGUAAUGAGCUUGCAGUUGGUUGAGAUCCAUGCAUACUUUGAGAACUUGGACAAGCUUGCACAGAUUGACUCCCUUGCACAUAUUGACUUCCAAUGGAAGUUUGAGAUCCUUGCACAGUUUGAGAAGCAUCCUUCUUAUUGGUAAAUUUAUUCCUCUUUGCAGGAGACUUGAAUUUUUUUUUUUUUUGUUUUGUACUAGUGCCAAUAAGUUGUGACAAGCUUGCAAUUGGUUGAGAUUCAUGCACAGUUUGAGAAGCUUGGACAGUUUGAGAAAAAUGGGCAGUUUGAGAAGCUUGGGCAGCUUGAGAACAUUGGCCAGUUUGAGAACAUUGGCUAGUUUCCAACCUUCUUUCGACCUAAAAAUUGAAGCACAAUGCAAUUUAUAUCAACUACAUAAAAUAUCUAUUCCUCUAAACACUGUUUACAGGUUACUUGUCUCUUGAUUGUCUUCUAACCCUCUUGGUUGAUGUGGUGACAAUUAUUUUCUUCACCCUUGGUUUAGAUGGGACCUGACAUAAGAAGAGAAUAACAUAAAAUAAAUAUUAAAGAUCCAAAACAAUUAUAAUUACAAUGUAAGAGAAUAGCCAAAUCUGACUGAAACUGUCUUUCUUUGCCUUAGGGUAGCUCCUCCUAUUAUGGCCUCCAUAUCUACAAACUGAACACUCAGCGGUUUCCAAGUUCUACCUUUGUAGCUUGGUGGCUUUCGGAUUAAAGGUUUGUGGUGGUUCACCUACUAAUCUCAUCCUCUUUUUCCUUGGUCUCCUAGGUUUCUUGUGAUACAGUGGUGGCAGCAAAAGAGGCCUAUGACACUAAAGCCACAAGUCUUCGCUUGUCAUUAGGUGCACCAUUGGACUAUAAACUCUCAUAAAUGCUUCCUUCUUGUAACAAUCAUCAACAUAAGCAAUAUGAUCCCCACUUAAUUGUCAAAUGGCAACAUAAGCAUGCUUGCAUGAGAUCCUAAUGAUAUCCCAUCUCCUAUAUGAACAAAUGUUCCUUGCCAAAUCAACCUCAUCCUAACUUCCAUCAUGGUUUUUCACUUCAUAUAAUUCUGCCCAACAAGCUUUGGAAUACACCAACUUGCUUCUCUCUUCAUCUUCUCAAAAAUGCUAAAAAUCCUUGGACCUAUGUCAUGUUUCCAUCUCUCAGAAGAUGCUCUUCUAGUUUCCACCAUCAACAUAAUAUAGUAUCUAAUCCUCUCAAGCAUGGUUAAAAUGGGUUUGUCUCUGGUUUUUAGAAGGGCACCAUUUAAAGUCUCACACGUAUUAUUCAAAAGGAUGUCACACUUAGAAUGAGUUUUAAAGUGAGCUCUACACCAUUGUGAUAGAUCUAAGGCCACCACCCAAUCAAAUGCAGCUUAGCUCAACUUUCUCAUUUUUUUUAAUCUCAGCAUCCCACCAUGGGAUGGUUGUGCUCCUUGCAAUUUUUUCCAUUUGCAAUUUCAACACCAAUCCUCUAUGACCAGCAAGCAUAAAAUUUGCUUCUAAGUGUUUAGGCAGUGUAUGUGCUCAACAUUUGGAAAAUGAUCAUCUACUACAUCAAUCAAACCUUUUUGCCUGUCUGUGAUAAAGACAUAGGAGUUGCUGUUUUUCAUUCCAAGGUCUUCUGCCAACAAUUGACAAAACGAAGACCAUGUUUCAUAAUUCUCCACCUCAACCACUGCAUAUGCAAUAUGAUACAUGUCGUCGUUGGGAUUCAUAGCAACAACAAAUAGUAAUUGUCCAGGGUGAUGACCUUUGAUGUGACAAGCAUCAAAUCCUAUCACUAGCCUACAUCCUUGCAAAAAAUUGUGUUUAACUACAACCAAGAAAAUGUAAAUCCUCUAAAACCUUGGUCUUUCACCUUCCAGCUCACAUUUGAUAAUUACUGUGCUCCCCACAUUUGUCCUUCUUAGUUCAGCAACAUAAUCCCACAAUAACUCAUACUGUUUUUGAUAAGUCCCCUCACUUAUGGCUGUUGCCUUGUGCCUUGCCAUAUAAAUAUGGGAUUUGGAAGCUAUCACACUGAGAUCUUCUUGUACCUGUUGUUUAAAAGAUCCCAUAUCCCAAUUAUGAAUUCUAGAUAGUUGAGUAGCAUAUCUCUGAGCUAACCAUGUUGAGUUAGCAUGAAAGUUUUGCUCAACUGUCCCACAAUCAUGCUCAUCAACAAACUUCUUCACUUGAACUCAUUCAUUGUUGAAGCAAAACAAACCCAUCAAGAAUUCCCUUCACACACUGCCCUUACCUUAUUACGAUAAUUUCAUUUGAAUUUAAUUAACCUCCUGUUUAUAAUUGAAUAGUUUCUAAUUGCUUUCCUAAAUAGGCCAGUGGUUGCAAAUCUUAAACCCACAUCAGCAGUCAAAACGACUUUUGUUCGAGGUGGAGUCCACAAAUCCAUGUCACCAACUCAGAUUGGUGAGAAAUAUGCAAGCUGAGAUGGAUUGACCAAUAUACCCAUGCCACGUCAACAUUUUAAUGGAGUUUGGGAUGAAGUUGACGAAAAGUGGUUAAGUGACACAUAAAACCCUGGUCAAGGGGGCAAAGUGGGUUACUUUAACUUUAAAGGGGUAGAGUGAGAUUUGACUAAUAUUUUAGGUGCUCACCACUUUAACUCAAGGUGUACCCUCACUACUAUUUUAAAAGAGUGUUGCUAUUUCCACCAACUUGUCUUAUUUUUCCACCUACCUUAUUUUCAAAAUUUUAAAGAUAAAUUUACUUCUUUAUAAAAUGACUUAUAAGGACUUAGGGAAAAAAAAAAAACAUUAAAACCAAUUUAAAAAAAAUGAGAAAAGGAGAAUAAAAAAAAAUAAAAAGAUUAACCCCACCUCACCCCAUCAUCUUUCGCUUCGCCUCCACCAACGCACCCCUCAUUCUUCUCUAUUGUCCCUCUUUGUUUCUUUAACAGUCACCACCCCACAAUCAAAAGAUCCCAAGCAGAUCCCCCCCCUAAAUUUUCAGUAUUAAUAAUAUGAAAGGACCUUUAACUGAGAUUUGAAUCAGCCAACAAUUCUAGGCUCUCAAAGUAUGCACCUCACAAUAGAGAGAGAGAGAGAGAGAGAGAGAGAGAGAGAGAGAGAGAGAGAGAGAGAGAGCAACAUCUGGGUUGAGUUCUGUGACUAGGGUGCUGGGCUGUGGGAGGUGAAUUUGAUGGUUGGGGUGUGUUGAAAUUGGUGGGGAGGGGAUCGGGUAAAACAGAGAGAAAGUGUCUGUCUUUUUAGUAUUUUAUAUUGUUUAUUAAUUAAUUAAUUAAUAAUAUAUUAUUAUUUAUUUGGUGGGUGGGAAGAUAAUGCGUAUUUUAGGAAUAAUGGUGGGUGGAAAGAUAAAAUUGUGUUUUUUAAAAAUUAUAUAGUGGUAGGAAAAUAAGAUGGGUGGGGAAAUAAGACAUGGGAGUGGAAAUAGCAGCACUCUUUUAAGGCUUGUUUGGUACACAAGACUGUCUUGGCAUGAACUAUGCUUAGGGACUGGCUUGGCUUGGCUUGGCUUGGUCUAAGUUGGAUAACACUUAUCCUGCGUUUGGUGUAUGCUUGGACUAGGACUAGAAUUUUUUUUAUUUUUUCAAAAAUAUCUAUAUAUAUGCAUAUAUGUAUUUU
rnacentral:lncRNA from 1 species